UACGUAGGGCGCAAGCGUUGUCCGGAAUUAUUGGGCGUAAAGAGCUCGUAGGCGGUCUGUCGCGUCUGCUGUGAAAACCCGAGGCUCAACCUCGGGCCUGCAGUGGGUACGGGCAGACUAGAGUGCGGUAGGGGAGACUGGAAUUCCUGGUGUAGCGGUGAAAUGCGCAGAUAUCAGGGAGGAACACCGAGUGGCGAAGGCAGGU
rnacentral:rRNA from 1 species